GUGCCAAGCAGCCGCGGUAAUUCCAGCUCUAAUAGCGUAUAUUAAAGUUGUUGCAGUUAAAAAGCUCGUAGUUGGAUUUUGGUGUCGGACAGGCGGUCGGCUUUUGUCGUACUGCCCUUCUGACGCCUUCCUUCUGUGGACUGCGUCACUCUUAACUGAGGGGCGUGUGGACGCAGAUCGUUUACUGUGAGUAAAUUAGAGUGUUCAAAGCAGGCCUUACGCUUGAAUACAUUAGCAUGGAAUAAUAGAAUAGGACGUCGGGCCUAUUUUGUUGGUUUAGGGACCGUCGCAAUGAUUAAUAGGGACAGUUGGGGCCGUUCAUAUUCCGUAGUCAGAGGUGAAAUUCUUGGAUUUACGGAAGAUGAACUACUGCGAAAGCAUUCGGCAAGGAUGUUUUCGUUAAUCAAGAACGAAAGUUAGGGGAUCGAAGACGAUCAGAUACCGUCGUAGUCUUAACCAUAAACUAUGCCGACUCGGGAUCAGCAAGUGUCGUUCACGACCUCGCUGGCACCGUGUGAGAAAUCAAAGUCUUUGGGUUCCGGGGGGAGUAUGGUCGCAAGGCUGAAACUUAAAGGAAUUGACGGAAGGGCACCACCAGGAGUGGAGCCUGCGGCUUAAUUUGACUCAACACGGGGAAACUCACCAGGUCCAGACAUAGCGAGGAUUGACAGAUUGACAGCUCUUUCUUGAUUCUAUGGGUGGUGGUGCAUGGCCGUUCUUAGUUGGUGGAGUGAUUUGUCUGGUUAAUUCCGAUAACGAACGAGACCUCAGCCUACUAAAUAGUAACGCCUGCUUCGGCAGGUGGAUUACUUCUUAGAGGGACUUUUCGAGUCAUCGAAAGGAAGUUUGAGGCAAUAACAGGUCUGUGAUGCCCA
rnacentral:rRNA from 1 species